UGUGGAAACAGCCCCCCCUGCCCCCCAGCUGUCAGUUUGGGAGAGGGCAGCCCGUCACGCAUGCACCUGCGAAGCAGACGCUGCCCACGCCGGUGCCCACUCAGCUGAGCUGCGCAGCUGGAGCAGGUAGACCGCGGGACGGCGCGACGAGGCUGAGAGACUGGCUGACGGAAGAGCAAAGGCAGCAAUCCUGUUUCUGUUUCCGUCAGGGUGCUCCUGGCGCCCGAACUGAGGCGGAACGUUCGACAGCGCUCGGAGAGCCAAGCUGCCGAAAGUUAGGGGUCAAAAUGGGCGUCUUUCUGAGCGGUGUCCCCUUCUGGGUCGAGAGGCCUCGUCUGACAAAGACAGAGAGCGCACAAUCGCGGUUUACAGUAUUGGCUGUUUCCAGAGGUCAGUGGUCAAGGAAAGAGACUGGAAGCUUACGGCGGCUGGACAAGCCCGCGACAGACUCCAGAGAGGUAUGGUGGCGCGAGCGUCGUCUGUGAAGGAACGCUGUCUGUGAAGGAGAGUCGUCUGUGAAGGAGCGCUGUCUGUGAAGGAGAGUUGUCUGUGAAAAAGAGUUGUCUGUGAAAGAGAGUUGUCUGUGAAGGAGAGCUGUCUGUGAAAGAGAGUCGUCUGUGAAGGAGCGCUCCCUGGGCACAGACAGAAUACUUCAGCGCCGCUCGUCUGAAAAAUGGCCGUCCCGUGACACGCAAGGCUCCGGAAUGUUCUCAGAUUAAUCUCAGACAGGAAGACAUUAACAGGACACGGCCAAUUUAACUUGUGUAAACCUGCGAAUACAGUCCACCGCCAAGGCGUCAUUUUUUAUAGUCUUUGCUUCCUCUGUUCACCCCAUAGGUACUGUACCAGUACAGUCAAGUUUAUAUAACCCACAUUCCUCUACCUUUUCUUCCUAUCAUUAUUAUAUAAACCGCACUCUUUGAAAACACUCGCACGCGUCCUGGUGUCUGGGAUCUCUGUCUGAAAGCAUUUGCUCGUAAGUCAUUAGCAGACAGCACACCGGGUCCCUCUUGGCACGCAGGUUUUUGAGGCCAAAUUUGUGCAGAGGGGAGAAACUUAAUUUGACCUCGAUAUUAAGCAGUUACAAGAGUUAUAGUUUUUUAUUACAGUUAGCGGCUGAAGCUCGGCUGAAGUUAAUUGAAUUGAAAGGGGGGAGCUCCCGGAGAGCGCGCGCGCUGAAUUCUGAUGCUACAGAGAGCCCCGGAGCGAUGCGCUGAAAUACCGCGAAUAAUUCACGGGCUCUGGCGUUACCAUUACCGUCACGCACGCGACUGCGAAAAUAACGACGAAUUAUACCGCGUUUGUGUCCGUUUGGAUUUUUUUACUUUACGCUUAGAUUUUUUUUUUCCUCGACUGUGCUUA